rnacentral:lncRNA from 1 species
UCUCCAAUCCCACCCCAAACCUUCUCCAGUUCCAUUCCCACCAUCCCAAACCUUCUCCAACCCAUCCCAAACCUUCUCCAGUUCCAUUCCCACCAUCCCAAACCUUCUCCAUCCAUCCCAAACCUUCUCCAAUCCCAUCCCAAACCUUCUCCAACCAAUCCCAAACCUUUUCAAUCCAUCCCAAACCUCCUCCAAUCCCAUUCCCAUCAUCCCAAACCUUCUCCAAUCCCAUCCCAAACCUUCUCCAAUCCCAUCCCAACUCACCCCAAACCUUCUCUAAUACAUCCCAAACCUUCUCCAGUCCCAUUCCCACCAUCCCAAACCUUCUCCAUCCAUCCCAAACCUUCUUCAUCCAUCCCAAACCUUCUCCAAUCCCAUUCCCACCAUCCCAAACCUUCUCCAACCCCAUUCCCACCAUCCCAAACCUUCUCCAGUUCCAUUCCCACCAUCCCAAACCUUCUCCAACCCCAUUAACCUUCUCCAUCCAUCCCAAACCUUCUCCAAUCCCAUUCCCACCAUCCCAAAUCCCAUUCCCACCAUCCCAAACCUUCUCCAACCCAUCCCAAACCUCCUCCAACCAUUCCAAACCUUCUCCAAUCCCAUCCCAAACCUUCUCCAAUCCAUCCCAAACCUCCUCCAAUCCCAUUCCCACCAUCCCAAACCUUCUCCAUCCAUCCCAAACCUUCUUCAAUCCAUUUCAAACCUUCUCCAAUCCCAUUCCCACCAUCCCAAACCUCCAUCCAUCCAUCCCAAACCUCCUCCAAUCCCAUUCCCACCAUCCCAAACCUCCAUCCAUCCAUCCCAAACCUUCUCCAACCAUCCCAAACCUCACCCAACCCAUCCCAACUCACCCCAAACCUUCUCCAUCCAUCCCAAAUCCCAUUCCCACCAUUCCAAACCUCCUCCAAUCCCAUUCCCACCAUUCCAAACCUCCUCCAAUCCCAUUCCCACCAUCCCAAACCUCCAUCCAUCCAUCCAUCCCAAACCUCCUCCAAUCCCAUUCCCACCAUCCCAAACCUUCUCCAAUCCCAUUCCCGCCAUCCCAAAUUCCCGAAUUCCCCGAUUUCCCCACCUUCCUGGUGGCGUGGUUGAGCAUCUCCUGCCAGGUGGGAUCCAGGCGGUUUUUCCCGGUGCCCAUUCCCUGCUCGGCCACGAACACCAUUUCCCGCGCCGCGUUGUGCAUCCCCACCGCCCGCUCGUAGCGCAGCGCCGCCCGCUGCGUCUCCUGCUGCGCCUGGAAAGCCGGGAAUUCCGGGAAUUUCCGGGAAUUUCCGGGAAUUCCGGGAGGUUUCGGUGGAGUUUGGUGGGUGGGGUGGGGAUUGGGAGGGGUGGGGUGAGGUUUGGGAUGGUGGGAAUGGGAUUGGAGAAGGUUUGGGAUGGGAUGGAGAAGGUUUGGAAUGGAUUGGAGAAGGUUUGGGAUGGUGGGAAUGGGAUUGGAAAAGGUUUGGGGUGGGAUUGGAAAAGGUUUGGGGUGGGAUUGGAGAAGGUUUG